CCCGAGGGGCGGCUGCGCGGAGGGGGGGCCGGGAGGGAGGUGCCUUUCGCCGCCGCAGUGCUGAGCUAUGCUUGGGUGGAGGUUCCUCGAAAAAGGAAGGAACUUGGGCCUAAUAAAAGCCUACACUUUUACCGCAUUGGGGGUUGAUAAGCUGGAUCCUGCAGAAGAUGAGAGCACCUGCCGAAAAUUCAGGGACCUUGAGACACAACAGUAAGACCCAACAAGAAACAAAGGUACAACCGUCGGCAGAAACCGCAACAGUAAAGAUAAGGGAGAAAAACAGCCUGCCUAAGAACAACGAUGAGACCCAAUAAGGAGCAGGAGACCCCAGACCUAAAAAUUACUAUUGGUCUGAACUACCGCGUGAGGGGUGGGAAACUUAAUUUGAAAAAGCUAUAAUUGCCCAGGGAUUUCUUUGUUCGGGGUCCCUCUUCGGAGGCACCCAGCUCGAGCUGUAA